rnacentral:rRNA from 1 species
CUCGAGUGGUAACCGUUAUUAUUGGGUCUAAAGGGUCUGUAGCCGGCCGGAUAAGUCUCUUGGGAAAUCUGGCAGCUUAACUGUCAGGCUUUCAGGAGAUACUGUCUGGCUCGAGGCCGGGAGAGGUGAGAGGUACUUCAGGGGUAGGGGUGAAAUCUUGUAAUCCUUGAAGGACCACCAGUGGCGAAGGCGUCUCACCAGAACGGACCUGACGGCAAGGGACGAAAGCUAGGGGCACGAACCGGAUUAGAUACCCGGGUAGUCCUAGCCGUAAACGAUACUCGCUAGGUGUCGGCCACGGUGCGACCGUUGUCGGUGCCGUAGGGAAGCCGUGAAGCGAGCCACCUGGGAAGUACGGCCGCAAGGCUGAAACUUAAAGGAAUUGGCGGGGGAGCACCACAACGGGUGGAGCUUGCGGUUUAAUUGGAUUCAACGCCGGAAAUCUUACCGGGACCGACAGCAAUAUGAAGGCCAGGCUGAAGACUUUGCCGGAUUAGCU